UGUGUGUGUGUGUGUGUGUAUAAAACUUUUGUGUUAUAUGCUCUUCAAAGGAAAGAAAGGAUGAUUACUUUUAAUGUUUGGUUAUUAGCAGUUUUACAAUAAUAGCAAUGUUGAAUCCAAACUUGCAAUUGAAGAAGAGUAGUUCUGAUUAACUCAGGACAAAAUAUUUAUUCGUUUAUCUCUAAACAAACAAACGAGCAAAAAAAUAAAUAGCUAACUGCCAGAUCUUAUGAUUUUAGUGUUCUUCAUGUGUAGGUGGCCUUAGGUGGCUUCUUAAUGAGAGAAUGUGAUGGAAAUUUUCUAUCUUUUAAGGUGGUUUUAUUUUUUUUCCAAAAGGGAAGAUAAUCCUAUCUCUUCUACAGAUGACUGCAUACUCUAUUGACUUCCUUUUCAAAUUGAGAAAUCUGCAUUUAUCUCUUAGCGUCUACACUUAGAUGCUUGAAGAAUCUAGCCCAACCAACAUACUAUAAGUGAACCCUUUCUUGAAUGAGCUGAUAGCCGUGAAUUUUGUGAGGAAUACACAUGCCAGAAUUAGGAAAGUGCAAAAUCCCCACCUCCCCACUAGGCUCUGUUCUCUGUACUGUUCCCUUUGUUUUUUCUGAGGACCUUGCAGUUUUGCAGAACAGCCUCCUUAUCUCUCUUUGCUUUUCUCCUUGGGACUUACCUUCCACAGACCUCUUCAGACAUUCUUACAGAAUUGAUCCCACAAGAUCUCUAUUUUCAAUUGGUUUUAUACCUUUCAAUUUUAUGGCCCAUCCAGAACAGCUCAGUUCACUUUCUGAAGAAGAAAUAAGAAAGUGUAAAAUGUUACCAAAUCUUCCCUCCUGUGUUUUCAAUAAACCACAUUUGCAGCUUCCUGUUUUAUACGCUUUUACAGAAAUUCUCUUUAAAAAUCAAAUAUAUGCUUAUCAUUAUUUUAAUAAAUCCUCUGCUGAGUAAAUGAAUUUAACAGAAUUGGGGGUAAAAGUUUGCAGUGAUUGGUGGAUGAUACUGCUAUUCAAUAAGGAGCGCUUAAAAAUAGAGCAAACACGUAAGACAUUUUUCCAGUUUUCAAUUUGUAAGAAAAUGAUUUCAUUAGAGGGGAAAAAAGAGAGAGAGAAAACUAUCAGUCACGAUGUGGGAGAAUGCAGGCUCCUGAUGAGACCAGCGAGAAGACAAACUAAGUGUAUGGAUGCAGAUUAGGCCUCAGAAGAUGAGGGUGUAAAAGGGAUUUAAUGGUAGGGUGGAUUAUAGAAAUCCAUGUAACAAUGUUAAAUAAUUAUAGUUCCAGCCGAGAUCAAAGCAGUGCUGAUUGAACGCCCUCAAGCUGUUAACAUGAAGUAUCUUGAAGGGGAAAAAAAACCUGCCUCAAAGAUUGGUCAGCCUGGGCAAACAAUGUCUGUGAUCUGUAGAAGUUCCAACUGUAUUGAAAGCACCAAUUCUGGGGAGGAAAAAUGGAGGAAGCAGCCUGUUAGGAAAUUUCUUCCUCUAGAGCUCUCGAUCUUAAAACAGACUUUUUAGCUAUUUGUAGUUUGUUUGAAAAUGCUAAAAAGAAAAGUCUACCCUUUCUUUUGGAGGGCAGAGAAAAAAAUAUUCACUCAACCUACAUCAUAGAUGUCGAUAGAAAAUUCUACAAUUGAUUUUUUUAAUUCUUGAUUUUGCCCUUUGAGGAAAAUUUUACUUUCACCAAGUGUACCAGAGUGAUAAUGACUGUAGGUAAGGAAAACUGGAAAAAAAAAUUUGUGGAAGAUACAUUUAUCCGCAGAAGGAGCAAAAAGUAUUUUGAAUAUAAAGAAAAAAUAAUGAGAAUACAUUUGUAAUACCUCUAAGACAUUAAAAAAUACAGAAUUAUAAAACAAUUGAAAUUAGUUCUAAAAUGAGACAGCCAUUUAAAUUAACCCCAAUCACAAGUGUGUUGGGCAAAUUGAAUAUAGAAGUAUAUUGAUGUCUAUGUCUGUAACUGUCUGUCUGUAUAUAUGAUAAAGUACAGAGAGCUGGUAAUUUUUAUAGUUUACACAUGCAUCUUUUAUUUAGUAUAAAAAUGAAAUUGUUUACUAUUUUAAAAUUACACUAAAAAUGCCAAGCCAACAAAUAUUAAAACUAGAUUUAUAGAAAUUAUACUUGUAGACUUUUUAUUAUCCAUUGAAAAUAUAGUUGAUAUAAAUAGUUGAGCUACAUAGUAACAUAAUGAUUUGAAUUCUAAAACUGAACGGCCAACUAUUUGCAAUGUUUUUAUAAUAUUCCAGGUACUGUGGCUGGAAUUUUACUUGGAGAGAAUUAAAGCUGAUAUUUGAGUAAGGUGCACGGCAUUUCCUGUACGGUGAUCGUUUUAAGAUUUAAGAUGUGUAGGAUCAGCUAGUCACCCCAUCUGAAUUUUAAAAACCUUUAUGUUAGGAGAUGAACUAUUGAUAUAAGUAUUCUAUAAGAAAUACACAUUUCUUAAGCAGUUGAUGAUAACUUGUUAAGGGAAAAUUUGGAUAGACAAAAUGUGAAUUUUUGUAUUAGAAUGAAUUGAAAGAAAUUUUUCUUGAUUCAAAUACAUUUGCCUAGUAACAUUAAAGUAAGAGCAUUUUAAAAGUGAAGACAUUCUGCUGUAUAUCUUUUUUCUGUUAUAGGAAAUAGCUGAUAUUAAAGACAAUACCUCAUUAAAUCUUGUGAUGAGUGGUUUAACUUCAUGGCUUUUCUUAGGCAAAGGUUUUAUUACAUUACAUUACAUUUUUAAUAUUUUAAUAUGAAUGCAUUUCCUUUGCCAAACUAAUUUUUAUUUUUAUAGGAGGAUGGAUGUGUUCGCUCUUUAACAUCUUUUCUCAUCCUUGGAAAACAUCAUUUUUUAUCUGUAAAAUAUUUUUAAAUCAUAUUUACAUGGUACCGGAAAAUGAUAUUAUAGGAUUAAAGUAUUUUAAUGCACGUGUUGAAUAUUUUUAAAACAGUUUAAGCUAACAAUUAAAACUUACUAUAAAUUAAUUUCAGUAAGCCACUAGGUAAUUAGUCAAUUUUAAAGUUUCUCACAUUUUUAAAUUUGGGAUGUUAGUGAUAUUCUAAAGUGAGUUAUAUAUUUAACAACUGAAUAAUUUGUUUAUUUUCACUUCUUUUUAUUGUUCCUUUUAAUUUAAAUGUUCACAAACUGUAUUUUUCAUUGUAAUUCUCAUAGGUCCUUCUACAACAGAGGUUUACACGAUACAGAAGGGGUUCAUUAACUGCCAAGUCACCUGUCCAGAAAUGUUAAUUUAAUUUGAAAGUUAAAUUGUUUUGUUUGUUUGUUUGUUUAAAGUAAUAUGAUUCUACCCCACGUAGCAGUACAUACUUGAGAGUAAAUGCCAGGUGAAAUGAUUUUCUAAAAUUGUCUUACUUUUUUUUUUUUUAAUUUGAGGAAGUUUUUUAUUCUAAGGAUACAGACAUCUUAUGACUAUUGAUGAGUUCAGUACCAUACAAAAAUUCUGAUAUUAUAAUAGGGUGGAAAAGCCUAAAAUUUUUAUUCUUAUAAAACUGGUUUCAAAUCCUCAUUCAGUGCUUGAUUACUUAUGAACUGAGUGACUAUGGACAUUUUGCCUCAUUGCCCAAAGUUUCAGUUUCAUCAUGGAAAUAAUGCUUACCUUCUGUAUCUCUUGUGAGCAUUAAACAAGGUCAAGUGAAAUAUCAUAUGUAUUUCUUCCCAGCCAGGCUGCAAGACUGGGUAGAUGGAGGACUCUCAUGAGAACUGCCCCUCACCUCUUACUAUUGAAGACAUAGGAUGGUGAAGUUUCUGUGAGAGCUCUGACCUUGAGCCCCACAAUUCUUAAGUAUAUUUAUUCCAAUACAACUUAUUUUUACUAAAGUGAAAUUUAGGAAGCUUGAAAUGAGAGUGACUUUGUCCAAGUACUUUUAUGUCUCAGAUCCUCAGUUUUCCCACAAGCAAAUGGGGAUGAUAAUAGCUACUGCGGUGCUUAAAGUGGAUCUUAAAUAAAAGGACCCACGAGAUACUUAUGCCCAGCCCAUAGAGGUGCUCAGUUAUUGCUUUUGUUAUCAUAGUCACAGACUACUGGAAAUAACUGGCUUUUUAGAAAUAUUAACCCUAGAAAGUUAGGAAAUCUUCACUGAAUUUCUUAUAUGAAACAGGAAUUCUGCUAGACCCUGAGAUACUGUGAUCAGUAGGACAGGUGUGAUCUCUGACCUCAGAAGGCCUGCACUUUACUAUGGAAUGCUGUUUAAAAUUCAGGUAGCUACCAUACCACCAUUAAAUAUAUCAAAGCAUUUUUAAACAGUGGUUAUUUCAAUGAAUAUAAAAGUAAUAGGCUAAGUCUUUGAAGAAAAUAAAAAGAGUGAUUAGAUACACACACAUGUAUAUACACAACAUAAUAAAAAUGAGUGUUCCUAUGCAUUAAAAUAUGCUACCCCUAGUCUCCAAGUCUCUUUGCCCUGGCCAUAAUUAAAAUCUGUAUGCAUAAAAAAGAGACAGUGAUUUGGGAUUCAUUGGAAGAGAAAGAAUGAUUUGGCAAAAACUGGUCACCUUCAAUUUCAAACUUUUCUCACUUUAUUACUGCUCUAAAAUGUUCUAAAGAAAACCCCUCAUUUUCUCAACACCAGUCUGUCUCCCCCAUCACUCAUGUCCCCUAUCUCAUUGUUCUUAGUUGGGCCCUCUUAUCACUCCUCCUAGCCCCCACUUUAUCGUCCUUGUUAAACAAACCAUCCUUACUUCCUUGGUGUCAGGCCUCCUAGAUAUACCAUUCUCUUUAGCAUUUAACCAAGUACAUUUUUCUCCAUUGUCGCUUGCUAAUCUUGUGUCUCCCUGAGGACUCUUCCCAGAGGCACUUGACACUGGCCUGCCAUUUUCUCUCUUUCCUCUUGGAGUUCCACCUUCUCUGCUGCCACAUUGCACUUGUGGCCAUUACCCUGUAACCUCAUGGCCUCUUCUGAUCAGGAAAUAAUGUCCUUCUUCAUAUGCAUCAACCGUCUUAUACAGCCACAUUUUAUCACUCAGAAUUGUUACAUACUUAGACAUUCCUUUCUCUGUGUAUAACUGGCUGUGUGUUUCCUUGCGACCUCAGUGAGGAAUCUACGCAGCUCCUGGAUUCAUUUUCAGUAUUACUCAGUCUCAGCUCCAUAACCUCCCAUUUCAAUAUUACUCUUGUUAGUACCUUCAGUGGCCUUGACCUCUGUGCAUCUGGCUUAUCAUUGCUUUACUGGGAGAUGGGGAGUAGAUAGUCUUUAUACCCUAUACCUAAAUCACCAGGAAAAAUAAUAGCUUAGAUGCAUUAGUGAGCAUUUAUUAUGUAUAUGAGGCACUGUGCCAGACACGAAGCAGCAUCUCAGACAAUCCCCUCAACACUCUAAGGCCCCAAAAAAAUCUUUUUGUUGGCAUUAUUGCAAAUUCAAGUACUACUAGGCAUUUUAUUGAUUGCCUGAUAACCUUGUAUAGAAAUCUCCACGAUAAUGGUUCUAAAACUCUCCAGUCUUUGAAUCAUUAAUCCUCUUUCCUCACUGCUUUAUUUUCAACUACUUUUUUGAAUAUGGAGCAGUUAUUUUUUAUGUGAGAGAUUUUUUCCUGAAGACCUUUCUAAAUUCAAAUUCUCACUUGUCCCAUAGGGGGAAAAGUGGUGGGGCAGCCCAGAGAGCUCUUUAGAGCACACAGAUCUGGAAACAUUGUAGCUUAGAGGUUUUGAAACCACUUUGAUCAUGGAGCCAUGUCACCAGAAUUUUUUCCUAUUAUCCUUGCCCACUUAUAUAAUAAAUUUUUCCAACUUCAAGGUGAAUCUGCUUUAAUGUUGCUUUUAAUUUUCUCAGUAUGAUCUCCAAUACUUCAGAGUGUUCACUCUUAAAUUAAUUGCUGCUUGUGAUUAAAAGAAGAUGGCUUCACUCUUAUGUGAGGAUUUCCUGUAAUGAUCUCUUCUGUUUUACAUCUCUUUACUCUCUCUUAUUUUUCCCCUUUCUAUCUCUCAAUCUCCUGCUCCUUUUUAUGAUUGCAACUCCCAUCUUUCUUUUUUCUUCAGUUUCUACCUAGCCAGUUUCUUGUCUACUUGCUCAUCAUUGCCCUCCAGGUGGCAUAUUCAUUCAUGCAUGCAUUCAAACAAUGUUUCUUGAGCACUGACUGUGUGGAGGGCCAGACUGACUGGCCUCAAAUACUGGUUUCAUCACAUUCUAGCUCUGAGACUGAGCAAAUCCUUCAAUCUUUAUGUGCCUCAGUUUCCUUAUCAGUAAAACAAGAAUAAUAGUAAUUGUAUCAGUGAUAAAUGCUAACGUGUGUUGUGAACUUACCAUAUUCCAGUAGGUUUUAAACAUUUUAUGUGUGUUAACUCAUUUAGUCUCAUAGAACACUAUGAUGGGAUUCUGUUAUUAAGCCCAUGUUUUGUGCAUGAAUUAUAUAUUUUCAUAAUUUGCUCAAAAAUCACAAAGCCGCAUAGCUCAUCAGAGGGUUGAAUGAACUCAUUCAUAUAAAGGGCAUAACAAAGUGCCUGGCACAGAAUAAAUGCUCAAAAACAUUUAUCUAAUGUAAUUAUUAUUGUCUUUAUAAAUAUUCCCGAUUUACUACCCAGUAAGUACUUAAAAUAUUAGCUGUUGUUAAUGAUAAUGAC